CUUGAACGUGCAAAUAGAAAGCUGUCCAAAAAGCCCAGAAAAGCGAAGGAGAACCAUAAAAUGUCUAACAUGGUGGGCAAAAUUGAAGAAAUCAUUGCAGCAGCUUCAACUCAACAGGCUGAAGCUGUGUGCACUGCAACAAAGGUAGACAUUGGCUUGGGAGUGUGCCUUGACGCAGGCGUUCUGCAUCGUAUACAAUGAGCAGCAAAGGGAGAUGGAACCAAAAUGGCACGUUCACUGAUGCGGGCAGUGUUUCUACCUGAAGAGAUGACUGGCCACACCCUUUAUGGGAGGCCGUGCAAUGCGCACAAAGGUGCAACAGCGAAACCUUCCAUUGAUGAAACAAGGACACAAGCUGUUCUUGGAUACACAUGCAAACAGACCACGACGAGCUUAC